GUGCCUGGCAUGUAGCAGGCGCUCAUUAAACAUUUGCAGCACGGGUGGCAGUAGAAGCGGGUGGUCUGCCCUGACAGUACAGCCUGGUGAGUAGACAGCACCUCUAAACACUCCCUGUGCCCGGACACUACAUGCCCGAUACUGGUCCAUCUUCAAACAACCCCAUGAGCCCGGUAGCAUUAGCAGCCCCAUUUUACGGAUGAGAACAUGGAGGUGCCUGCACUUGAACUCAGGCAGGCUGACUCUAGGGCCCAUUCUCUGGGUCAUGCUUCCAUUUCCUCCCUGAAAAUCUUAAGCAAGCAGGGAUUCUCUGGGAGAGAAAAGAUUGGGACCAGGUGCUGGGGAACUUUACUACCCCAAGGACUUAAUCAUUCGUGGUAAGAUUAUGCUCAUUAAUGAGGAAAAGAUGGCAGGGUGAAGUGUUUGGUUUUUAAAAAAAUUUUAUUGAGGUAAAAGUCAUGUAACAUAAAAUUAACCAUUUUAGGGACUUCCCUCGUGGUCCAGUGGCUAAGACUGCACUCCCAAUGCAGAAGGCUCGGGUUCAAUCCUUGGUCAGGGAACUAGAUCCCACAUGCUGCAACUAAAGAUUUCGCAUGCCACAGUGACGAUCAAAGAUCCCACAUGCCGCAACUAAGACCCGGUGCAAACACAUUAAAAAAAAAUUCAUAAGUAUUCAGUUCAGUGACAUUUAUUACAUUUACUGUGUUGUGUAACCACCAUCUCCAUCUAGUUGUAAACCAUUUUUGUCACCCCAAGAGAAAAGCCCACAGCCAUUAAACAAUUUCUCCAGUUCUCCUCUCCCCACAACCUCAGGUGACCACCUACUCGCUAUCCGUCUAAAGGUAGAUUUACCCUUUCUGGAUACUUGGCAUAAAUGGAAUCACACACUGGGUGACCAUUUAUGUCUGCCGUCUUUCGCUUAGCCCAAUAUUUCUGAGGUUCGUCGAUGUUGCAGCAUGUAUCAGCACUUCAUUCCUUUUCAUAGCUGAAUAAAAAGCAACUUGACUGAGAUUUUGGAGCCACAGUUGCAGUUUGAAUCUAGACC
ensembl:lncRNA